GAAAUAAGCAGUUUCAUUAUAGAGCAGCAAGAGGCUGAAGAUAGUAUACUCUCCAAUAUAAAACUCGAAAACUAAUCACGAUUUCAUUAUAGUCUGCUUGUAAUUGCUGUUUUUCUAUUCAAAUCGUUUUAUAUAUGAGUGAUUUAAGGUAUUGGUUUCAUUUCAAGAAUGUUAUUAAACUCAAGAGGCGGAAGAUAGGUGUUCCCAGGGAUUCGGUCGCGAUUUCUUUGUAUAAGUCCCAUAGUCAGCUAGGAUGCUUCGUAACUACCCCAAGGCCCAAUACACGAAGGACCGGUUUUGGGUGUGCAAUAUAGCAUUUCUAUAAAGGUUGAUAAAACAAACCAUCUCCAUCAUCAAUUGAUAAAACAAUGAUGGGGACACUCCUAAGCAGCUAGAUUAUUUACUGGAACAUUUGCAGGGUUAGCACAAGAAAGUAGCUCAUUUCCAAUCCAUUAUACUGAUUGGAGAUUGAUGCCAAAGCAAUACAAAGAAGAUAUUUUUAUCAAAAUAAUCAAGCAAAAAUUUCACUUCCAAAAUGAGGUGAUUGCAAAACAUUGGACACUUCAAAAUAUUGGGAGAAAGUGGAAGGACUUCAAAUCUAGGUUGUGGAUAGAGUUCUAUGAUUCUUCGUUAAAUAUCGAGAUGAACUGAUUAGUAAGUGUCCACUUGAAUUCAUGGAGGUUAGUGGUCAAGUUUUGUCAACUUGUCUGAAAAAUCAAAGGUAAUUUAUUCUAAUAUCUGUUUGCUUAUUGUUGUAGACAUAUUUGCCUAAUGUAUUAGUAUUCUGCUCUAUUAUUAGGAAAUGUGCAGAAAAAUCCUGAAAGUAGGAAACACCAAAAGAUUGUACAUAGCUUUGGAUCAAAGCACCAAAAGAUUGUACAUGACUUUGGAUCAAAGAGCUUUGCUAGGAGAAGGGCUGAAAUGGUAUUUCAAUUUUUUUUACACUUAACUAAGUUGUGACCUUGUGGUCAAGUUGUUCUCCCAUAUAUAAAUUGUGGAUUUGAGUCUCAAUGAGGACUACUCUAGUAGGUUGAGAAAGUAGUUAUGAACAGAUACUGCAUUGUAACCGUAGAAUUGUAACAGAAUCAAUUGUACUCAAUAAAAAAACUAAGUUGAA